rnacentral:rRNA from 1 species
GCGGCGNNUGNNNGGCAAAAGAGCUCAAAUUUGAAAUCUGGCUCUUUCAGAGUCCGAGUUGUAAUUUGAAGAAGGUAUCUUUGGGUCUGGCUCUUGUCUAUGUUUCUUGGAACAGAACGUCACAGAGGGUGAGAAUCCCGUGCGAUGAGAUGAUCCAGGCCUAUGUAAAGUUCCUUCGAAGAGUCGAGUUGUUUGGGAAUGCAGCUCUAAGUGGGUGGUAAAUUCCAUCUAAAGCUAAAUAUUGGCGAGAGACCGAUAGCGAACAAGUACAGUGAUGGAAAGAUGAAAAGAACUUUGAAAAGAGAGUGAAAAAGUACGUGAAAUUGUUGAAAGGGAAGGGCUUGAGAUCAGACUUGGUAUUUUGUAUGUUACUUCUUCGGGGGUGGCCUCUACAGUUUAUCGGGCCAGCAUCAGUUUGGGCGGUAGGAGAAUUGCGUUGGAAUGUGGCACGGCUUCGGUUGUGUGUUAUAGCCUUCGUUCGAUACUGCCAGCCUAGACUGAGGACUGCGGUUUAUACCUAGGAUGUUGGCAUAAUGAUCUU